AGAGCGAACGCUGGCGGCAUGCUUAACACAUGCAAGUCGCACGGGCAGCAAUGUCAGUGGCGGACGGGUGAGUAACGCGUAGGUAUCUAUCCUUGGGUGGGGGACAACUGUGGGAAACUACAGCUAAUACCGCAUAACAACUGAGGUUCAAAGGCGCAAGUCGCCUGAGGAGGAGCCUGCGUACGAUUAGCUAGUUGGUGGGGUAAAGGCCUACAAGGCGACGAUCGUUAGCUGGUCUGAGAGGAUGAUCAGCCACAUUGGGACUGAGACACGGCCCAAACUCCUACGGGAGGCAGCAGUGGGGAAUAUUGGACAAUGGGCGAAAGCCUGAUCCAGCAAUGCCGCGUGUGUGAAGAAGGUCUUCGGAUUGUAAAGCACUUUCGACGGGACGAUGAUGACGGUACCCGUAGAAGAAGCCCGGCUAACUUCGACGCCAGCAGCCGC
rnacentral:rRNA from 1 species